UACAGGAAGCCUGUUCCCUCCCACUGUGGCCUGCUCUUACCAGCUGUUUAGAAUGCGUUCUGCAGACUUCACCGGGGCUCAUGAGAUAUGCAGCUUUCAACACAGAAAGGUCUGAAUGGCAGCUGUCCAUGUGGGUCUCACUGGGCUAAGAUCAAGGUGUCAUCAUGGCUGCAUUCCUUUUGCAGGCUCUAGGAGAGAAUUCAAUUCCUCACCUUCUCCAACUUCUAUAGGCCAGCUGCAUUCCUCGGCUCAUGGCCCCUUCCUCCAUCUUCAAAGCCAAUAGAGUUGCAUCUUCUUAUCUCUCUCUAUGACUCUGACACUCCUGCCUCCCUCUUAUAAGGGCACAUGUGAUUGCAUUGGAUUCACCACAUAAUCCAGGAUUAUCUUCCCUUGAAGAUCAUUAGCUUAUUCACAUCUGUCAAGCUGUACAGGAAGCAUGGCUGGGAAGUGAGGCCUUAGGAAACUUACAACUAGAGGGAAGGCAAAGGGGAAGCAGACACAUCCUACAUGGCUGGAGCAGGAGGAAGAGAAGGAAGAGAUCUCAUAAGAACUCACUCAGUAUCAUGAGAACAUCAGUCUGGAAAAGACAAAAAGAGGGACAGUGGUUGCCAAGUGCUGGGGAGCGGCCAGAGAAGUUGAUUACCAAAGAGUGCAAGGGAAUUUUUUGUGGUGAUGGAAAUAUUAUUUCAUGGUUCUAUGUAUUUGUGAAAACUCAGAACAAUACCCUGAAAAGAGUGAUUUUCCUGCUACUGAAUGAUACCUCAAUAAAUGUGACCCAGCCUUCCAAAAAAAAAACCCAUUUCUUCCUGCUGAUUCUUGUGCAUCCCCGAUUUUUCUGUUGUGCCACCUUCUAGCUUGGAACUUGUGAAGUCUGAUUCCUUGUGUCAAUCUAAAUAGGUCUGUUACCCGUCAAUGUCAAGUGUUUCCUCACUUGUCCCUGUGUGUGUCUGCACUACGACUUCAGCUCCUUGAUGGCAGAGGGCAGAGAAUACUUACAAUACUUUGAUUGUCUUCCUUUUGUUGACUCAGCACUCACUA